GGAGAGGUGCGAGAGUGGUUGAAUCGGCCGCACUCGAAAUGCGGUAAGGGCGCAAGCUCUUCGUGGGUUCAAAUCCCACCCUCACCG
rnacentral:tRNA from 1 species